AAAAAAUGCAAACCCUAGGUUUUCGUGGCAAUAUUUGACUGUCCAUUUUAUAUAAAAUUUUUUUAUAAUUAGUAUUUUUUAUUUUUAUUAGAUGAUAAAACAUGAUUAAUACUUUAUGCGUGACUUAUUUUUUUAAUUUUUUUUCGUAUUUUUUUAAAUAAGACGGACGGUCAAACGUUGAACACGAAAAUCAGGUUUGGGAGUACU
rfam:Oryza nivara chromosome 5, whole genome shotgun sequence.